UACAGAGGGUGCGAGCGUUACUCGGAAUUACUGGGCGUAAAGCGCACGUAGUCGGCUUUGCAAGUCGGGUGUGAAAUCCCCGGGCUCAACCUGGGAACUGCAUCCGAGACUGCAUUGCUAGAGUAUGGGAGAGGGAAGCGGAAUUUCUGGUGUAGCAGUGAAAUGCGUAGAUAUCAGAAGGAACAUCAGUGGCGAAGGCGGCUUCCUGGACCGGUAUUGACGCUGAGGCGCGAAAGCCAGGGGAGCAAACGGG
rnacentral:rRNA from 1 species